rnacentral:lncRNA from 1 species
GCUUGGAGACCUGAACAACGGGCUUCUGGUACCUAUGAAUUCUCUACUUUUAAAGAAAAGUUUGAUGAAGAGAGACAGAGGCAGAGAUUUCAUCGUUUUCAUAUAAUUUAAAAGAACUUGUGCAUAAAUAUAUUAAGAAUCUUUAACAUACAAGAUAGAAUUCAAAACUCCUUAGGAUACAAUCUAAUAUCCUUUGAAAUUUUUCUUAUUUUAUUUUCUGUCAGUCUUUUAAGUAUAUUGCAAUCUAGCCAUGUCAGAACUUAUCAUAAGGUCUAAAAU